GCCAGGCAUGGUGGCUCAUGCCUGUAGUCCCAGAUACUCAGGAGGCUGAGAUGGGAGGAUUGCCUGAGCCCAGGAGUUGGAGGCUGUAGUGGGCCAAGAUUGCGCCCCUGCACUCCAGCCUGGGCAACAGAGCAAGACCCUGUCUCAA
rnacentral:SRP_RNA from 2 species